UGGGGAAUAUUGCGCAAUGGACGAAGGUCUGACGCAGCGACGCCGUGUGUGGGAGGAAGCUCUUCGGGGUGUAAACCACUGUCAGGAGGGAAGAAAGGCGCUGACUCGAACAGGGUCUAGCGAUUGACGGUACCUCCAAAGGAAGCGCCGGCUAACUCCGUGCCAGCAGCCGCGGUAAUGCAGAGGGUGCGAGCGUUAAUCGGAAUUACUGGGCGUAAAGCGUGCGUAGACGGUUAUUUAAGUCGGGUGUGAAAGCCCCGGGCUCAACCUGGGAAUUGCAUUCGAGACUGAAUAGCUAGGGUACGGUAGAGGGAAGUGGAAUUUCCGGUGUAGCGGUGAAAUGCGUAGAUAUCGGAAGGAACAUCAGUGGCGAAAGCGACUUCCUGGACCAGUACCGACGUUCAGGCACGAAAGCGUGGGGAGCAAA
rnacentral:rRNA from 1 species